CGGGGCGUAGCGCAGUUUGGUAGCGCACUCGGAUGGGGGCCGAGAGGUCGCUGGUUCAAAUCCAGUCGCCCCGACCA
rnacentral:tRNA from 1 species